AAUUUCUGAGCUAAUCAGCCUGCCUCACACUAAUUACCAUCCUCCCGGGCAUUAGGGCGACUUCCUGGGCAGGGGAAGGGAGGCCAGUUCCUGGGACGGACACCCCUUCCGUGAACUCAGAGGGGCCAGGAGCAGCAGGGUGGUGGUAAAGGGGCUGACCAGGAGGCUUGGGCAGGUGGGCUAGCAAGGUGGGGCUCACGGACGUGGGCAGAAGCAGGAGACAGUCCACCGAGCACCAGCGGGGCACAUGGCAAGGUCCAGAGGUGGCAGCAGCCCAUGGGCACUGGGCUUAAACCAGGACUUGAAGCAGCUCCGCAGCACCCAGUGAACGAGCGCGUCACAGCAGGCAGGGAAUGGCCAGGGAUCUCAACUGCUGCCAUCCAAGUCCCCAGGGGAUUCAGGGCCUCCUGGACCCCCUCCACCCUCCCCUUCCCCACAUCCCUCCCAGGCAGAAGCCCCAUCCAGAGGGGCUCCGCCCUAAUACAUUCAGCCAACAGUCAAAGGGGAACCCGGAUGUCCAUACCCGACAAGCCGCCCAACACAGGGCAGCCCAUGGGGCAGCCGGUGCUCAUCGGAACCGUGCACCAUUGGUGAACACACAAAGAAUGCCAAGAGCCCAGUCAUCUGCACAGGACCACGGCCAAUAAGGGAAGCCCACACUGAGGAUCAGAACUCGGUCCCACUGGGCCCUGAGGAGAGAAACCCAGAGAACUUGUGCCAGCUCCCCAGCUUCAAAGGGGGGCUUUAUGCCCGAAAUUCCUUGGCACGGACACCCCACACAGGGCAAAGUCACCGGAUCCCCCUGCGGCCACACACUCGCCCCAGAGCUGUCAGGAGGAGGUGCGUGCAGAUGGCGACAGGGAGACACAGGGAGACGAGCAGAGCUGGCGCCAGCCAGGCCCUCGGGUGACCCUGCUCAGAAUGUGAAAGC
rnacentral:lncRNA from 1 species